CUGGGUGCUUAAAUCUUGGUUUGUUGUCAGUCGUUGUUCUAAGCUCUGUCCUUUGACAUUGUCAAAGAAGAGGACACAUGAAACUAUAUUGGUAUUUUUCCUCCUCACUUGUCCUGUUUAAGAUCUGUUUGACAACUUACCUGGGAUCUACUGGGAUAGAGACUGUAGUAGGGGAUAGGGGCAGUAGUGUGUGUGUGAGGGGUGAAGUGUGUGUGUGUGUGAG